CUUCAUUUCAAAUACUACUCAGUCUCUUUCGACCUUUCGUGAUGAUUAGUGGUUAGGAAACGUGUGUGCCGGGGCACGCACCCGAAUACCUGAAGACUAGAAUGAAGUCAGAGUCAUCUUCACCUUGUUUUUGGUGAUUGUGGAGAUAUUUUGAACAAACGCUCACAAGUGUACCCUCCACAUAAUUGUUUCCUCAUAACUUUCAGGAAAAAACAGAUAUCUUUUCAGGAAAUAUUCUACAUAAUUCCUCUCAGACAGCGUACAUUACGACGAUAUCAAAAUUUAAUGUGAACGAAAUAGAUGUCACGCACACAUAUGUACUGACAGACAUCCCAAUUUUUUUUUUAAUUUUCAAGUUCCAUUUUGUGGAUAUAUAUGUUAUGUGUGUUAGUAUAUAUGUGUGUACUUUCGCGAACUUUUUCUGUUCUUCUUUUUUUCACAUUAAAUUCCGAUAUAAUCGUACUCUACACCAUCUGAGAGGUAUUUGUAGAAAAUUUCUUUGAAAAUAUACCCAUUUUUCUGGAGGUUAUCUGCAAACAAACUCGGGGACACGAUUGUGUGUGUUUGUCGUUUUAUGCACCUUUGAGUUCUUAAACACCCUUUGUAACAUGCUGGUUGGUACCAUAACAUAGUUACAAGGUGUCCAGAAAUAUUUCUCCAACCGUAUGAUCUCUUAGCCAGGCAAUUUCAGGACAGGAAACCUGGAGGUUCCAACUCGAAAUGAUAUUUCGCUCUCGAAAUGAUAUUUCGCUCUCGAAAUGAUAUUUCGCUCUCGAAAUAUUAAUACAGAGUAUUUCAGUGUAAACAAUCGUGCAACUGUAAGGCGAUAUGAUAUUGAUGACUAUAUUGACCAACUGGAUAGCGUCUUCACCAGUGGGAUCCAAGCACUGCAAUUACUGACGGAAGUGUGUGGACAGUAAGAGGAACUAUGUUAAAAAAUGAACUUCAUUUACUUACAUUCCAUGUGAGCGCAUUUCAGUCGACCCUCAAAUUAAUAAAAAUCAUUAUUAUAACUGCAUUUAUUUUAAAGUUAACUUUGAAAAUAUCUACCUUUCACGGAAAAAAAAAUUGUAUGACUCAAUAGAAAAUGACGUUAUGCCGCCCCACAUAUUUGUACAGAGUCUUAGGCUCACUUCAGAGAGUUACGUGAGGUUGUUGAACAUGUGGUCAAACCCUUGCUGAAGAGGAUUGAGGCUGGAAGUCCAUGUGUUUGGCAGCUGGAUUAGGCUAUUUGUCACACCCAGGAAGAGUCAAAAGUGGUUGUCGGAGAAUCUCUACGACUUCAGUAGCACCAAUUUUUGUUUUUCUAAUUUCUGAGAGGAGAAUAUUUUGAAUAAAAUCAUAAUCAACUGAU